AUGCAAGUCGAACGAACUCUGGUAUUGAUUGGUGCUUGCAUCAUGAUUUACAUUUGAGUGAGUGGCGAACUGGUGAGUAACACGUGGGAAACCUGCCCAGAAGCGGGGGAUAACACCUGGAAACAGAUGCUAAUACCGCAUAACAACUUGGACCGCAUGGUCCGAGCUUGAAAGAUGGCUUCGGCUAUCACUUUUGGAUGGUCCCGCGGCGUAUUAGCUAGAUGGUGGGGUAACGGCUCACCAUGGCAAUGAUACGUAGCCGACCUGAGAGGGUAAUCGGCCACAUUGGGACUGAGACACGGCCCAAACUCCUACGGGAGGCAGCAGUAGGGAAUCUUCCACAAUGGACGAAAGUCUGAUGGAGCAACGCCGCGUGAGUGAAGAAGGGUUUCGGCUCGUAAAACUCUGUUGUUAAAGAAGAACAUAUCUGAGAGUAACUGUUCAGGUAUUGACGGUAUUUAACCAGAAAGCCACGGCUAACUACGUGCCAGCAGCCGCGGUAAUACGUAGGUGGCAAGCGUUGUCCGGAUUUAUUGGGCGUAAAGCGAGCGCAGGCGGUUUUUUAAGUCUGAUGUGAAAGCCUUCGGCUCAACCGAAGAAGUGCAUCGGAAACUGGGAAACUUGAGUGCAGAAGAGGACAGUGGAACUCCAUGUGUAGCGGUGAAAUGCGUAGAUAUAUGGAAGAACACCAGUGGCGAAGGCGGCUGUCUGGUCUGUAACUGACGCUGAGGCUCGAAAGUAUGGGUAGCAAACAGGAUUAGAUACCCUGGUAGUCCAUACCGUAAACGAUGAAUGCUAAGUGUUGGAGGGUUUCCGCCCUUCAGUGCUGCAGCUAACGCAUUAAGCAUUCGCCUGGGGAGUACGGCCGCAGGCUGAACUCAAAGGAAUUGA
rnacentral:rRNA from 1 species